UUGGCUAAAAAUUGCUAAAUUCCAGAUAUUUGUUGGUAGUAUAGUGGUUAUAUUGCAUUUAUAGCAUUUUUCACCAUGAAGUGAUAUUUAUUUAAAUGUGAACAUUUCUACUUUGAAAACAUAAGCCAAGUUUUUUGUGUUUUCUCAUAGCUACUAAGAUUACCGGUAAAUGUGAAACUAGUAAAAUAACAUUUCUAGAUAAAGCAUGAAAACAGUGUUUAUCAGUAAUUGCAUUUGGACUCAUAUUGAGACGAAAAUCUGUUUAAAGAAUUUAGAGGUAUUUUGUUAAAUCCAGUAAGGUAAAUAGCACAGUAUAGGUUUGGUUCAAGCCAGAUACAUUUGUUAUAUAGCUGUUGAAGAAACCUUGUGUAUGGACUUAUUUAAUACAAGUCGAGUCAGUAAUGCUGAUAGAACGGGUAUUUCCCACGUAAAUGUGUUUUAAAGCUGAUACUAUUUGGGGAAUUUUUAUUUGAUGGUUUGAGAUAGUGCAUCAUGUGCCCUAUGUGAGUUUUGAAAUUUAAUCUCAAGACAGAGAUAUAAACAAAUAAUUUCAUAAAGAGUGCUGAACUACAUUCAGUAAAUAGGUUAAAAGGGAUAGGUAAUUCCUUGAUAAUGUCAAUCGAUUGUUUAGUAAAUUUUUAGAAUAAUUUAAAGGAGCCAUGUUUCAGUGAUCGAUGUGAAUUCAUUUUAUUAAGUCGAUCAAGUAGAUUGAUUAUAUUUAUGUUUAGCGCCAUCUGGAGGCUACUAAAUUCGUGUAAAGAAAUGACACCCUUUUUGGUUUCCAGUGGAUGAAAUCUAUUGAUAUUGGAGGCAUCCUUGUGUAAGAUGGAAGUUAGAUGCACUUAAGAAGGCAGAAUGAAGUUUUUACGGAGCAUUUGGAGCAACAAGAGAAUUGGAAUAAUAAAGAAAGACCAAUAAACAAAGUCAAA
rnacentral:lncRNA from 1 species